rnacentral:rRNA from 1 species
GGAUUAGGCAUGCAAGUCGAACGAGGAUAUAUCCUUUCGGGAUAUAAGCCGAGUGGCACAAGGGUGAGUAAUGCAUAGAUUACCUGCCUUUAGGAUAAGGACAACUUUGUGAAAACGAAGCUAAUACUUAAUAAUACAAAAGAAAUAAUUUUCUUUUGUCAAAUGGAGGGUAGCAAUACCUUUCGCCUAGAGAGGGGUUUAUGUCCUAUCAGCUUGUUGGUGGGGUAAUGGCCUACCAAGGCGAAGACGGGUAGCCGGUUUAAGAGGAUGGUCGGCCACACUGGGACUGAGACACUGCCCAGACUUCUACGGAAGGCUGCAGUCGAGAAUCUUUCGCAAUGCCCGAAAGGGUGACGAAGCGACGCCGCGUGGGUGAGGAAGGCCUUCGGGUUGUAAAGCCCUGUCAGGAGUUAAGAAAUGUAAGUUCGUUAAUACCGUACUUAUUUGACAAAGGCUCCAAAGGAAGCCACGGCUAACUCUGUGCCAGCAGCCGCGGUAAUACAGAGGUGGCGAGCGUUGUUCGGAAUUAUUGGGCGUAAAGAGCACGUAGGUGGGUUUGCAAGUCAGAUGUGAAAGCCUUCUGUUCAACGGAAGAAUUGCAUCUGAAACUGCUAAUCUUGAGUAUAGGAGGGGAGAAUGGAACUUCUGGUGGAGCGGUGAAAUGCGUAGAUAUCAGAAGGAACGCCGGCGGCGAAAGCGAUUCUCUGGCCUAUUACUGACACUCAGUGUGCGAAAGCUAGGGGAGCAAACGGGAUUAGAUACCCCGGUAGUCCUAGCCGUAAACGAUGGGCACUAAGUAGAGGGGUUUU